rnacentral:tRNA from 1 species
GCCCUCGUAGUUCAAUGGAUAGAACAGAACUCUUCUAAGGUUUUGAUGUAGGUUCGAUUCCUACCGAGGGCACCA